UUCUCCCUCGGUCCAGGCCCAGAUGCCCCUCCUCAGCGGCAGGGGCUCCUGCUAUUUGAAGAAAGAGCAGUCCAGGGUGGGGCCUACAAUUUCAAUGACUGUGCUAAUCCUUUCUUUGCCUCCCUUUCGAGUGUCCUUCGCAGUCCAGCUGGGUCCCCUCUGUGCCUCAUUGUGUUUUAUCGGCCUUUUUGUGCGGCUCUGCGUAGGUAGAUGCCUCUCGGCGUGUUGGUACUGGAAGGCCAUCCUGUGUCUGCUGGAUGCCCUGCCUCCCUCAAAGCCUCCGUUAUUUCACUGUCCGCCUUGUGAGGGGGACGGGACUCCUUUGCCCAGCAAGGUUGCAAUGGAGAGUGUGGUUGGAUGAAGCCAUCACCCCAAUUUUAGGCGAGGCAACUAGCCAGUGGGGAUGGUGGGUGGAAGGAGCUGUCCACUGAGGCAGGUUUGGGUGGGGAACAAAUCAGGUCUGCUGGUAGGAGCGGAGGCAGGUGGGAGUGCAGCGGAUGGUGUCACCCUCCCCCAGGAAUGCAUCCUGUCGGGCAUCAUGUCUGUGAACGGGAAGAAGGUGCUGCACAUGGACCGGAACCCCUACUACGGGGGCGAGAGCUCCUCCAUCACACCCCUAGAGGAGCUGUAUAAGCGUUUUCAGUUGCUGGAGGGGCCCCCUGAGUCGAUGGGCCGAGGCCGAGACUGGAACGUUGACCUGAUUCCCAAAUUCCUCAUGGCUAACGGACAGCUGGUAAAGAUGCUACUGUAUACAGAGGUGACUCGCUACCUGGACUUCAAGGUGGUGGAGGGCAGCUUUGUCUACAAGGGGGGCAAGAUCUACAAAGUGCCGUCCACUGAGACUGAGGCCUUGGCUUCCAAUCUGAUGGGCAUGUUUGAGAAACGGCGCUUCCGCAAGUUCCUGGUGUUUGUGGCAAACUUCGAUGAGAAUGACCCCAAGACCUUUGAGGGCGUUGACCCCCAGACUACCAGCAUGCGUGACGUCUACCGGAAGUUUGAUCUGGGCCAGGAUGUCAUCGAUUUCACUGGCCAUGCCCUGGCGCUCUACCGCACUGAUGAGUGAGGGGAAGCUGGGUGGUGGCAGCCUCCUUGCCUGGCCCGCCCCCGCCCUUCCCACACCUGCCUGCCGUCCCCCUGCCCCGCAUGUCUCUUGUACUCAGCCACAGGCUCACCUAUCACCCUUUCCAUUUCCCCCUUGCAUUUGAUCCUCAUCUUCCCCAGGCCAUUCAGGGUGGUGGGAAGACUGGCCUGGUACCUGGGUGGGGGUAAAUCAGGGGUGCUGCUAUUGGAGCAUCUUCCCUAACCCCUGUCCCCCAGUUACCUGGACCAGCCCUGUCUUGAGACCAUCAACCGCAUCAAGUUGUACAGUGAGUCCCUGGCCCGGUAUGGCAAGAGCCCAUAUUUAUACCCGCUCUACGGCUUGGGCGAGCUGCCCCAGGGUUUUGCAAGGUGAGGACGUGGGUUUUUUCAGUUGGCAUAGCUGAGUAGGACUAGGGCCAGGAGUGGAGAUGGCCCCCUUGAGCAUUUCCCUGGUAGUAUUUCCUCCUUUCCAAUUCGUGGUCUUCAUUUACUUCACCCCAUCCUUGGGUGAUGAGGGCACAACACCAGUGCACUGAAGUACAGAAGUCUCCACACUUGAAAAGCCAAGUCUCCACAAAUGUGACUUGCUCAGUUCCCGGCAGCACCAGGACUGGGCCCAGGGUCCCGGAACCUUGAGUCAGGGCUUAGCUGGGAGCUGACCUAUCUCCAGAGAGUCCAUUCUGGUCCCUCAGGCUGUCUUGGUGCGGAGCACUGCUCCCUCAUGCCCCCUCCCGCUGGCCCUUGGCAGUGUAUUCUGAGCAGAAGCUCCAGAGAGGAAAGAGCCCGCUGAGAUGGGGCCAGAGUUCACAGCAGUGACAGAGCUUGGAUGAAUCCCGGCGUCUCCUGCCUGCUGCUUGCCUGGGGCAGCCUUCUUUGCACCUUGGUGGAGGAAGGGUGCAGUGGAAUUGGUCCCUGUUUCUCCUGGGAGGGGCCUUCACCAGAGCUGCUCUCACCACAGAUUGAGUGCCAUCUAUGGGGGAACAUAUAUGCUGAACAAACCUGUGGAUGACAUCAUCAUGGAGAACGGCAAGGUGGUGGGCGUGAAGUCUGAGGGAGAGGUGAGCAUUUCCCGUGCAGUGCAGUCCCAUGGUUGAGGUGGGGCUUGGUCACCUUCUCUCUGUGCUGCCGAGUCUCCUGCUGCACAGCCCCGAGGGUCUUGGAGCUGGGAACUGGGGGUCUAGAAGUCUUCAGAGUUAUGACUGUGGGUGAGAGGUCUCUUUCAGAGGCCACAUGCCAUGUCUGUGGUGCAGCAAGUGUUUUUGAUCACAGUGCCUCUGGGGGGCGGGGUGGCGGCGGGGGCGGGCCUGCAGCUCCUCCUGCAGCUCAGGGUAGGGCCACGCAUUCAGGAAGGGCAGUAGUGAUGGCUUGGAGGAGCGCCUUGUCUGCCAGAGCUGCCUGCCCUUGCUGUGAGCGCAGCCCCACGUCUACCUAAGGGAGGGAUGUGACAGGGGCGAGGACUUCUGGUGCCUUCUCAGGUGGCCCGCUGCAAGCAGCUGAUCUGUGACCCCAGCUACAUCCCGGACCGUGUGCGGAAGGCUGGCCAGGUUAUCCGCAUCAUCUGUAUCCUUAGCCACCCCAUCAAGAACACCAACGACGCCAACUCCUGCCAAAUAAUCAUCCCCCAGAACCAGGUCAACAGGAAGUCAGACAUCUACGUGUGCAUGAUCUCCUAUGCACACAACGUGGCGGCCCAGGGCAAGUACAUAGCUAUUGCCAGCACUACUGUGGAGACCACGGACCCUGAAAAGGAGGUGGAGCCAGCUCUGGAGCUGUUGGAGCCCAUUGACCAGAAGUGAGGGACUGGGCUGAGCCCAAGGGGGAGAGGGAGGGAGCCCAGCAGCUGGGCUUGGGGACCAGGAAGGGCAUGGCCCGUUGUGAGGCCUGUCCCCUCCCCUCUGUCUGCCCCUCAGGUUUGUGGCUAUCAGUGACUUGUAUGAGCCUAUUGAUGAUGGUUGUGAGAGCCAGGUAAGCAGCUUGUCCCAGCCCUGGCUCCUGGCUGCCCGCCCAGGGCACCUGCCUGACUCACCCUGGGCACUGGGCUCUGGCUGUUUCCAGGUGUUCUGUUCCUGCUCCUACGAUGCCACCACACACUUUGAGACAACCUGCAACGACAUCAAAGACAUCUACAAACGCAUGGCUGGCACGGCCUUUGACUUUGAGAACAUGAAGCGCAAACAGAACGACGUUUUUGGAGAAGCUGAGCAGUGAUUGUGGCCGCCCCCAGCCCCUGCUGCCCCAGCCUGUGUCUGUUCUCGAGGGCUCCAGCAUCCUCUGCUUCCCCCACCACGUUCCCAUCACCCACCUCAUUGAUCCACUGACCAAAUCCUUAACCCUAGCGAUGGUUUGGGAGGAUGGGGGGUUGGAUAGCAUCCUCUUUCUUGGCCCUUCCUUAUCCUAGGAAAAGAGGGUUCCUCUCCUUGCGUGUGUCUCUUCCCCCCACCCCUAACUCUUCUGCUCUGUUUGGGAAGAUGUGGAGGAAAAGGUGACUUCUGCCCCCACCGCUCUUACCCCCACUGUAGUGGCCUUUGGAGAUGCCCCCACCUCCCCCCACCAACUCUUGCGUGUUGGAGAGAAGGGGCCCUCCCAGCACAAAGUUGCAUUCCUCCCCCCUAAUUUAUUCUAAUUUAUUAACUUCUACCCACCCUUUCUGAGCCUGCAGCCUUCCCGUGUGGCCUGAGGGCUGUAGAGUGAGCUGCCCCAUCCCCUCCCAGCCCUUGCCCAGCCUGGGGGAGUGGGGAAGGCUUGGGCGUGGCCCCGUUGGAGGUUGAUUUGCUGUUUUGUUUCUUGUCUGUUGUGUUUUGUGUUCUGUGGUACUUGCUGAGAGAAAAGAAAAGUGAGCAAAGCAGAAGGAGGUGGGAAAAUGGACCCAAACCCCAGUGUGCCCUGCCCCAUGCCUUUCCUUUAGUGGUGGGAAACCCUUAUCUUGCAAAGUGAAUGUGUCCCCUUCCCCACCCUCUAGUGUAUUUCACAGAAAACAAAACCUCCCAAUAAAACGGUUGAAACCUG
rnacentral:sRNA from 1 species